GAGCAGAGUAGCAAGUUUUUUUCACUCCCAGUUGAAGAGAAGAUGAAAUUGGCUAAAAAGAAUCAUAGAGGCUACACAGCGCUCUAUGCUGAAAAACUCGAUACUUCUUUAAAUACCAAAGGUGACAGUAAAGAAAGUUUCUAUAUUGGUCCCUUAGCUGAUCACCUCAAUCAGUGGCCUUUGGAAGAAAAUCUGCCAUCUUGGAGAAGCACAAUGGAGACUUACCAUAAGAAAGUGUUGUGUGCUGGGACUAGAUUA